UCCAGCGUGUCCUGGUGAGUAAAGAUCAAUACUAACAUAAUAUUUAUAUGAAUUACUAAAGACUGUUGUUCUCUUUCACAGAAAGGUGUCGCUGAUGGAGCUGUCCAUGGUAUCAUCCACAAAGUGCAGUGAACCACCACCAGAGGGAGCCCUGAUCCUAACGUGAGAACACAAGGAUUCAUCGUCAUCUCUGCUAAGACGUCUACAACUACAAUGACUUAUCUCGCUCCAGUCAGAUGAUCCACACACUUCUAAUCCAGAAACAUUCCUGGUGUGUGUGUGACCCGUCAGAUGCUCCGGCCCACAUGAGAGGAAGAGGUGAACGAAGCCUAGUCCAAUAAACGACUUGGCCCAACACAAGUGAGAAGGCCUUCAGUCUGUGUAAUCUGCUGUUCCUCUGAAGUUCAGUCUAAUCGAAACUGAAGCACCACUCCUGAUGAAGAUCUCCAGAGGAACCAGAACCUCCAACAGUGGUGCUGAGGAGGGUUGGAGCUGCGGAUUUAAUGAAGGAACAAAAAGAAAUGAAUGUUCUUUGGAGGAGUCAAAAACAAGUGAUGAAUCUGUGAAGGAGACUGCACGCCUGGACAAAAAUGACGAUGAGACGGACCACAGGAACGAUGUGGAACACUUGGCCUCAUGGUGACAACCAAGAAGAUUAUUGUGGACUUGUACAAAAAUGGGCAAAACAACCAGCAAACUGUCCCUGUGGGCACUGAGGUAGUAGAGAGGGUGACCGUGACUGAGGACCUGUCCUGAGACCUUCACACUGUCUCAGCUGUGAGGAAGACCCAACAACACAUUUACUACUUGAGGAAACUGAGAAGCACCAACAUCCCCAGUCCAGUGAUGGUGAAGUUCUACAACUGUGCCAUCAGAAGUCUUCUGACAUGUGGAUUUUUCGUGUGGUUCUCCGCUGCGUAAGGUCGACCUACACGCUCUCCAGCGGGUGGUAAAAACAGAUCAGUAGCAUCUACAUCACUGACGGGGGAGUGACGACACCACCCUGCUCAUCACCUUCUCCACCUGCUGCCCUCAACUAGAAAGUACAGGUUCAUAGAGUCCAGAAGAACCAGACUGAGCCACAGCCUGUAUCCCCCGAGUGUGAGGCUGCUGAACACUGCCCCCUUCCCCUCUCUGCCUUUCUCCCAUGGACAAUAACCACAUCCUCCAAUAAAAGAACACUGAACUGGACUUUGUGUUGUUGUAGUAUUACAUAUGUAUGUACUGCUCUGAAUGUAGCAUUGCACUUUACAUCAAAACUCUGCAGUGUUUGAUGCUCUAAAUCAGGCAUGUCCAAACUAUGGCCCGGGGGCCAAAUGCGGCCCUCGGACACAUUUUUCUUGGCCCUCAGGCUUCCAGGUAAAUUGGCCCAAAUGACCUUGCAUCAAUUAAAAAGAAAUUUUUUGCUGCAAGUUUUUUGAAAAUCUACCUUGAUAAAGCAAAUAUUUCAUAUUUCGUGUGUAGUUUAAGGAUUUUAGCAUGAAUAAAGACUGAUGGCUCAUUCUAACAUGAUAAACAGGCACAUAUUUCAAUUAUUCCCUGUACUGAGCACCAGUCUACGGUCCUCGAUCGGCCCUCUGCUUCAUCUGUGUUUAGAAAUGUGGCCCUUGACGAAAAAAGUUUGGA